ACUAGAUUGUACUGUCGCGGUGCCGAGCAGUACUGUGGCUGGGGCACCGGAUUAUACUACGGCGGUGGUGCCGGGGGGUACUGUGGAGGAGCAGGCUCGUGCUUGGGUGGCUCGGGAUCCGCUCGCUAUAGCGGUGGCUCAACCUGUGGUAGAGGGGGAGGGUAGGGUAACUCCUUUCUCUCAUUUCGGCCUUGCUGGGCAGCAAUGAUCCUUUCUAGCAUCUCAAAUAUUUUGUCCACGUCUUCCCGAAGCAAAUCAUCCCGGGCUGCUCAGUUUAGUGGGAGUCUUCCUCUCCUCAUCUCUCUGCACCUGCAUUUCACAAAGAAGGGUUGAGUAACGAUUAAUCGGUUGGUAUUUGUCUAAAUAUUAUUGUGUAAGGGACGAGUCCGAGGAACGCGACUCUGAUACCGACUGUAACUGCCCCAGAAAUUAAAAGGAAACGUAUAUAUAAAAAUUCUAAGUGCGGAAGUGAAAUAAAAUAUUUUGAUUAACAUUCCUUACACAAUAACCAAAACGUAUUAAAUAUAUGAAAGAAUAAGCUAACUAAAGUAAAUACUAAAAAUGAAUACUAUAAGGAAAACUAUAAAAUCUUUAGGCAUCUACUCGCCGUCUUCCUGCGGAACGGGUUCGGGAACCAAGUCCUCCUGAUCUGAAAUGGUUAAGUAAUGAAUGAGCUACACUAGCCUAGUAAAGAUGUCACACUAUCUCACUGUCACAGAAGUAAAUGUUGAUAGAAAACAAAAAGGACCAAUGGAGCAUAAUUUAUAACAAAUUCAUUUAUCAAUAAUAAAACUCUUAAUUGUCCACUUACUUCAGUGAGAUUCAUGAAAACAACUUAUGAAAACAAUAACAUUAUAAUAUCAUGGAAUCAUACGCACUUUGUAACAUAACACAUGUCAUACUUUUAAUAUUUCAAU
rnacentral:lncRNA from 1 species